GUGCAACCGGGGCGUUAGCGGUGCCUUGUACCUACAAUCCGCUGUAGUAGGGGUGAUGGAUGGCAGAGGGUUACUGGUUUUUGUAGCUGCCCUCUAUAAGUGGCGAUGAAGUUUGGGUCUUACGCAAUAUGUGCCGUCGAACCGGGUCAGGGCAGGAAUGCAGCAGCACUAAGGUGGAUUUCAUAUGUGCCGUAAGGGUGCCUGGCGGAGUUAACUGUAGAGGU
rnacentral:SRP_RNA from 1 species